AAAAGUCUAGUUUAAAUAAAACAUUAAUUUGUCAAAUUAAAAAUAUUAAUAAAAAUGAUUUUUU
rnacentral:tRNA from 1 species